UCUAUCCACUAGGGGUGCCGAUAUUGGCUGAGAUUAAAGUUUAUCUUUGAGACCCUUAGUACCUGAUCUGGUUCGUACCAGCGUAGGGAAGUGGAAAUGACAAAAU
rnacentral:ncRNA from 20 species